rnacentral:lncRNA from 1 species
GGGUUGUUUGUUUCAUUAAUUUUUAUUGUGCUAUAGCUAAAAAGGUUACAGUCCACAGGAAGACAUAUUACCCUAACUUGACACUCCGAUCCAACUAGUCUUUGUUCUUACCCCUUAAUGCCAAUUGAUUAACGGAAAUCAGCAAAUACCAAUUUUUGAGUCUUAGGUUUGACCAGGCCGGUGUCAGAACCCACGAUAUCAGGCGUUUUAAUUCAUUUAUUAUAUUUAUUUAAUUGUACAAUGAAUUAAUAAAAGGGUGCAUACUGUAAGAAUCCAUCUUAUAUAAAUCCGCGCUUAAACAUACACAUCCAUCCAAAAGAAAUAACUUUUGCAACAUAUAUAGAAAUAGAAAGAUGUGGUAUGAGUGCCAAUGAUACUACUCUCAUUCCAGGACACAACAUGUAAAAAGUAAACAAUUAUAGGUCAAAGUACGACCUUUAACACAGAGCUUUGGCUUACACCGACCA